CGACGGUACCCGAAAAGGGUACCAAUCACUCUAGUGCCUAGACCGGAACGGUAGGGCGAUCGAGUCUUGCCGAAGACGGUGAGAGCAGACCGGAGUUUGGAAACUGAGACGAUAGAUAGCUUUUUCCUAGGUGCUGUGGUGAAGGAAGAAGUUUGUGUGGAGGGUGGAAGAUUAAGGACGUCGUCAGUGGAGAAAUGUGAAGAAGAGUUGUAGGUCAAGAUUUCUUCCUCGUCAUAUUCGUCAUCUUCAACCUUCUUUUUCCAGUUGAAAUAUCUCCUGGAGAAAGAGAAAGAAGAGUCAUGCGCCGUGAUUGUCUUCAUAUAGAAAAAACAAGAAGAAAAAGAAAGGAAAUUUAGGUUAAAGAUGAAAUUUUGAGUGAGUAGAUGAGCAAAGAAGAAGAAUAAGAAGAGAAAUAGGUGGGAAGGACUUGUAUGAAGGGGGUUAAGUGAGAGGGGUGAUAUAUUGUAGGAUUGUGUCAGCCAUGGUAGGAGAAUCCUGAGAAAAGGAAGGUAAACAGCCCCACCUAACACUGUAACAAGAGACAAAGAAAGAAUGAGACAGGAUAGAAAAUUGGAGGAGAGAAGGAGAUGAAAUUGGAAAAUGGGUGGGAGAGUUGUUGACUAUGAGUCGGGAAGUGUAAAUAUAAUGGAGUUUGGGGGGGAGACAAAUCGUACCGGUGAGGCCCACCUGAGCAGAGAGUCGUUUCAUGCUCCCCUACCGGACCCAUCAGAAAUAAGGCACAUAUACCCAUGAGCCAACAUUAGCCACCUUAGUGUUUUGCACAUUUACUUUCUACAAUCAUCAGUCUGGUUAUCAAGCAGUCACCGGCGCCAAAAGGGGCUUCCAGACCCAUUUUAGCAUUUCUCUUCCACGGUAGUUUUGCAUAAAGUAGAAGUGGGUAAUGAAGUAGGGUGGCUAAUGGUUGGGGCUGAUGAUGGUUCAACUUUAUUAUAUUAUACAUGUGGAGGUUUUGAAUAUCGUAGGGAAGGUAUGGAUGUGAAAGGAGUGAUCAGGCAAUGAUGAUGAUAUAAACUUGAGCCACCAAAAUUAUGUUGGCAUAUAGAGUAGCUGCUUUAUCUACUGGCUUUACGUUGAAUUUUGGGGUGGGGGAGAUCCCAAUGGUACAUCUACUACCCACACCGACAACACGUUAAACUAGGGAUUGGUACACUACAUAUAUGUUGAGAACUAACAAACACUGUCCCCAAAUAAAAUUACCCAGUAAAAUUUGGGAGCACGGUAAAAAUAUUCAUGACAAUAAAAUCAUGACCAGAUGGUUCUGACUUGAUCUGACCGAGGCACAAAUGCAGUUCAACUAAUUACGACUAACCAUGAUCAAUUGACCAACGACGACAACAACUUAAUUGCUUCUUGAAAAAACAUAAUGGCAAUAGCUUCAACUAAUAAAUCUAAAACAGAUUUAAAGGUAGUACCAAAUAAUUCAGGUGAAGUAUGGACCCAUAAGAUUAAACAACAUUACAAGAGUUGAGUAAGGAG
rnacentral:lncRNA from 1 species